CGCCACUCCUGUGCCUCUUCGCUUCCAACGUCGCGGCCGGCCUUUAAUGGAAAGCUACGGCGUGAACUCAUUCCCCAACCAACACUCCUUUCUCUCUCAACGCUUGGCUCGCUCCCCAACUGGACUUUGGAGAGACCUAGAUGAUCGUACAUCCAUUACAUCUGCAUGUGUCUUGUUCUGCUUUUCAUUGGAUCCAAAUGUGAGAGAGUCUUCAGGAAGGAGAUUAGAAGAAGGGAGAAACUUUAGGCAAUUCAGGCGUGUCUUUUUGUUCGUGUUGACUGCUACGGUGUACGGAUAAGCCACCUACAACAUCCACAUGAAUCGGUUUCCAGGAUAGUUAUUCUUUGGGUAAACAAUUUUGGAGUGAAGAACAUGGCAGAUCGGGGAUGAUCCAGAAACAAAUGUAAGUUCAGGCAAUAGUUUUAUUUCUCAUGGAAACACAAAUGUUUUAUGUUGCAACCAGUUUUGACAAGGCUAUUUGUUUUGCCAAAAGAAAGAUGUGUUCACUGACAAUUAGGAAAUUGAUCUUUUCUGGCGCUAUAUUGUUUCAUUACUAUCAUGAUGGAUAAAUAAUAGUAUUCUCAGUCUUAGAGUCCAAGAUCACCAAUAUAUGCUAUGCACUCUAUAUUUACUUUGCUUCCGAAGAACAACUUAGCUUUUGUUUGUCAAGAAGGGCCCCUUGUUCUUAUCUUGCCCUUGGGCCCCAUAUAUCUGUGGGUCGGCCCUAGGCAGAGGACGGCUACGGCCAAGCGCGACCCAGGAAGGCGCAGGGCGCGGGCAAGGCACUGACUGGCGGAGGCGGGAGCGGGCGAGGCGCGUGGCCAAGGCGCGCAUAGGGGCGGCCAGGCACAGUACGGGGGUGGCCACGGAGAACGCGGGCAUGGACGCGGACGGGUGCGGGCAUGCACGACGUGCUCAGGGCCGCGGGUGAGCACGCGCGGAGCGAGCUCCGGCCAUGGCGGCCAAGCGCGGGGACGGCCUCAACGGCGACAUAUCAAAGCAGGGAAAGAGGGGAUCCGGGAGAGAAGCUCACAGCGAGCUCAGGCGCGCGGUCGAGGAGGCCGAGGGUAGACCGGAGCGGUGUGAAUCGACGGCGGCGGUCGGCGAUGUAUGUGACGAAGACGACGGCGAUGGCGAGCGUACAAGGCCUCCCCACUCCAGCCCAAUAGCGUAGGCGAAGGAGGCGGUGAUGGUGAAGCUCCUGGACAACUCCGGGUGGCUUAAGGUGGUCAUGGGCCGCGACAUCGACGACGACAAGGCGACGGCCAACCGUCACGGGGAAGAAAACGGCGCGAGGGGGAGAGUGAGGGCUAGGGUUCGUGUAGAGGGGUUCGGGGAGGUCAAAUACAGCGCGGGAAGGCAGCGGAUGCAUGACGCGUGGCAAUCGAAGCCAUGGACGCGGCGCGUGCGUCCAUGGCGCCUGUGAUGAACAGGGAAGAAGGAGAUAGGGGGAGUUGGGCUAGGUUGUUGCACUAUGCAUCAGGCCCAUGUGACAGAAAGCUCUUUUUAGCUCUUUUCUCAUCUUCCCUUUUCUAUUUUCUGUUUUGCAUUUUGCCUUACUAUUGCAUUUAGUUUUUGUACUAAAUGAAUUUUGCCAGGGUUGAAACUUGCCACAUAAUUCUAGUGCAUUAGCAUAGGGCCACACACAAAGUUUUAGGUGGUUUGGGAAAAGUAAUAAUAUUUAAUGGAAUUUAAAUGGCCCAAAUUAAAUGUUGCGGGACCACUAAAAUAUUGCUAGGGCCAAAAAUAAAAAGCCAAUUAGAGUUUAUUUCAACAUGAAAAUUUCCGGGGGGUUAUUUUCAAAAUCAUGAACAUUUUUGUUGCAUUUUUGAAAAUGUAAAUUUUUGACAUGGAAUUUAAAUUUGGCUUUGAUUCUGGACAAAGUGAUGAUUUGCAAGACAAUUGUGAUGACUUGGCAGUCAUUAGUCAAGGGUCACUGUAGCAUAAUUAUCGAGGUGUUACACUUUCACAACAAGUUGAGCUUUGUAGACAGUAACAUUACCCUCAGCGUCAAUCUUCUUCUUGAAGAUCCAUUUAUUCUCGAUGGCUUGCCGAUCAUCAGGCAAGUCAACCAAAGUCCACACUCUGUUCCACGAUAGAUCCCAUCUCGGAUUUCAUGGCCUCAAGC